UAAUAAAUCUUCUAAUGUUUGAUAAAUGACACCAUCGGCACUAAUUGCUUCAGCAACCUCAUCCUCAGUUUUUCCAUAAGCAAUGAGAUCCUUACAAUCAGCGAGAUCAAUACCGUAGACAUGAGGAUGAGUGAUCAUAGGAGCGCAACUAGCCAAAUAGACAUUCUUUGCACCCGACUCCCUAGCCAUUUGAACGAUCUCACGAGAGGUGGUACCACGAACAAUACUGUCAUCCACAAUUAAAACAUUCUUAUCAAAAAACUCUUGAGGUUGAACAUUUAAUUUACGACGAACCGAUUUACGACGAAUCUGUU